GACGAACGCUGGCGGCGUGCUUAACACAUGCAAGUCGAACGGAAAGGCCCUGCUUUUGUGGGGUACUCGAGUGGCGAACGGGUGAGUAACACGUGAGUAACCUGCCCUUGACUUUGGGAUAACUUCAGGAAACUGGGGCUAAUACCGGAUAGGAGCUCCUGCUGCAUGGUGGGGGUUGGAAAGUUUCGGCGGUUGGGGAUGGACUCGCGGCUUAUCAGCUUGUUGGUGGGGUAGUGGCUUACCAAGGCUUUGACGGGUAGCCGGCCUGAGAGGGUGACCGGCCACAUUGGGACUGAGAUACGGCCCAGACUCCUACGGGAGGCAGCAGUGGGGAAUAUUGCACAAUGGGCGGAAGCCUGAUGCAGCAACGCCGCGUGCGGGAUGACGGCCUUCGGGUCGUAAACCGCUUUCGCCUGUGACGAAGCGUGAGUGACGGUAAUGGGUAAAGAAGCACCGGCUAACUACGUG
rnacentral:rRNA from 1 species